ACCCAGCUGGCUCAGUGGUAGAGCAUGGGACUGUUGAUCUCAGUUGUGAGUUUGAGUCCCAUGUUGGGCA
rnacentral:tRNA from 1 species